rnacentral:ncRNA from 1 species
CCUGACAAAGGCAAACCGUCCGAGAGGGCGGGGCGCAAAACCACGGGUCCGUGAGUCGGUCUGAUAACGACGUUUGUCGCGAUUCAGGCUUGGCUUCAGGAAAGCCGAGUUGCCUGGC